UACGGGGGGGGCAAGCGUUGUUCGGAAUUACUGGGCGUAAAGGGCUCGUAGGUGGCCAACUAAGUCAGACGUGAAAUCCCUCGGCUUAACCGGGGAACUGCGUCUGAUACUGGAUGGCUUGAGUUUGGGAGAGGGACGCGGAAUUCCAGGUGUAGCGGUGAAAUGCGUAGAUAUCUGGAGGAACACCGGUGGCGAAGGCGGCAUCCUGGACCGACACUGACACUGAGGAGCGAAAGCCAGGGGAGCAAACGGG
rnacentral:rRNA from 1 species